ensembl:lncRNA
GUGUGUGUGUGUGUGUGUGUGUGUGUGUGUGUGUGAGAGAGAGAGAGAGAGAGAGAGAGAGAGAGAGAGAGAGAGAGAGAGAGAGAGAGAGAGAGAGUGUGUGUGUGUGUGUGUGUGUGUGUGUGUGCGCACUGUACUUUCUUUUGUAUGCUUUUGCUGUCACUGUGAACUGUGUGGGCGCUUUGUGCAAGAGGGUGUGUGUGUGUGUGUGUGUGUGUGUGACAAGACAGUCCUGCACAUUCUUACAGGGAACUCCUCCCACAGAGAAAGAAAUAUAGAGGAGGAGCUGUGUACUGAGGUGAAGAAGGAGAACAGAGAAAAACAGUAGGGGCAGGAAUAAUGAAUUCACGUGAGAAACACACACACACAAAGAGAGAGAGAGAGAGAGAGAGAGAGAGAGAGAGAGAGAGAGAGAGAGAGAGAGAGAGAGAGGGGAACGAGUGUACCUCUUCCUCCUCCUCCAUGUCCCACUCAUCUGGGUGAAAGGUAACAAUUUCUGGGUGAGACGCACAAUACACAAAAGCACAACAGUUCGUGUUCUCUCUCUCUCUCUCUCUCUGUGUGUGUGUGUGUGUGUCUCUGUCUGUGUCUCUCGCCCACUCUCUCUCUCCUCCAUGCUGUGUUCACCAAACAAAUCCUGACAGAUUAACCAGGCAAGAGACGCACAACAAAAGCUCAUUUGCAUCGAGCUGAAGGGAAUCUCAUGCUGACACACUCUCACGCUCUCUCCCUCCCUCUCUCACUCUCUCACACACACACAGAAAACAUGCACAAACUCUAUAAUACAUGCUGCAUGGGUUACUUCAUUGCAGUGUCCAUCAUGUUGACUGAAAAGAAAUAUCCCCUUAUCCUUUCUUAUCUCCUUUCACCUUUACCCUCAUUGUCUUUCUUCCUUUGUUGUUCCUUUGCUACACCUCUAUGCUUUUCUUAAUAAAAAAGAAGCAAAAAAGCAAAAAAGCAAACAACAACAACAACAACAACUGUAUGGGUGAGUUCCUCCUAGAGAGCUCCUGCACACUUAAGUUUCUAGAUCUACAAGCUCUUGCUCAUGUCCCGGAGUCUCAAAGCUCCUGAUUUGGUCCUGAAAUUUCAAGCUCCUGCUCCUGUUGCUAAACUCCUGCUCCAGUGUUGAUGUCUAUAAGGUCCUGCUCCUGUCCUCAAGUUUACAAGUUCCUACUCCUGGUGUUUCAAAGCUCCUGUCCUGAAGUCUCAAAGCUGUUUCACAUGAUGUUUCAAAGUUCUGCUCCGGAAUUUGCCAUGUUCCUGCUCCUGUUUUGAGGUCUAAAAGCUUUUGCUCCCGCCCUCAAGUUGCUAAGAUCCUGCUCCUCUCCUGAGGUCUACAAGUUACUUCUCCUCUCUCUCCUGAAGUCUACAAGUUACUUCUCCUCUUUCUCUUGAGGUCUACAAGUUACUUCUCCUCUUUCUCUUGAGGUCUACAAGUUACUUCUCCUCUUUCUCUUGAGGUCUACAAGUUACUUCUCCUCUUUCUCUUGAGGUCUACAAGUUACUUCUCCUCUUUCUCUUGAGGUCUACAAGUUAAUUCUCCUCUUUCUCUUGAGGUCUACAAGUUACUUCUCCUCUCCGGAGGUCUACAAGUUCCUGUUCUUGUCAUGAGGUCUACAAGGCCGUCCUCGUAGGCGUCACCCAUUGUACUAUGACCAGGGUCUGAUAGUUCAGUAUGUUUGAUUGGGCAUGAGGUCAGUAAUUGGUUGUGGAUGAGCUCAUAAUUGAAUUUUUAUUAAUUUUACUUCAGUGUCACUCAGUACUGACAAACCGAGUCAGAGUGGAACCCCAAAUUCUCACCGGAUGGGUCACGGUAAUGGUGCGUAGCAACCAUCUGUUUAACACACACACACACACACACACACACACACACACACACACACACACACACUCCACACUCCACACUCCUGGCACAAGAGACUUCAGUUUUAACUGAAAAACUAACACACAACCGUAUUGUAUAAAAAUUUCACUGUGGUGAUAACCUACAGUCACGAUCAUAAUGUGCAACAAAUAUGUGCAUAAGGGUUUAAAAGAUGGUGUGUGUGUGUGUGUGUUCACCUGAGUUCUCCAUAUAUUCAAUAGAAACCAUGAACCUCUGACUAUGUGAUGUAAAAAUAACUGCUGCUGUUGGCCAAAGGAGUGUCUGUUAUUGCCAAUGUUUUUCCUCCUAAAUCCAUCCUGAGGAGCUCCUCCUCGCUCUUAACCUCUGGACGUACGUGUGUGUGUGUGUGUGUGUGUGUGUGUGUGUGCGCGUAAGUAAACCCAGCGCCAAGCACAACAGGCCAUACUGUUCCUUUGGCUCAGGAGUAAGUUUACAAAUCACACCAGAACAUUUUGUUUUGCUACUGUUCUUCAAUCAUUAUGUGUGUGUGGUUUUUUGAGAGUCCAGGUAAAAUGCAAACUGAAAAAUAAAAGUUAAUGAUCGGUGUGUGUUUGUGCUGAUUUUAUUAUAGAAUACAUUAUGCAAUGCUCUGUGAGCCGUGUGUGCGUGUGUGUGUGUGUGAUUGCACUCAGCCACAUGCCGAACUAGCGCUGUAGCACAAAAUUACAGGCAACUCCUACACAAUAAAACUGCUCACUACAGGCAGUCGAAAUAAAUUUAAACAACGUGUGUGUCUAUCUAACACACACACACACACACACACACACACACACACACACACCUUACCGUAAGCAUAUACAAAAUGCAUAGUGUAGGUGCAGAACCUAUAGACAUGUGUGGUGGAGUGUGAUAAGGCUUCUAAAGUCAAUGUUGAACAACCACAAGCACCUCUGCAUUCUCUCUCUCUCUCUCUCUCUCUCUCACACACACACAUACACACACACGAGAUUUUUCCAUUAGUACGUCAAUUAAACUGAACCAAAAACACACACACAAAAAGCAAUUACUGCAGGUUAUUAUUGCAUGCAUGAUAGUCAGCUAACUACUGAUGACUGAGCUAGCUAAAUAGAAAAUAAAAGGUAUUAUUUAAAAUAAAUAAAUAAAUCAAACAAAAAUCUAAAUAAACAGUAUAUUUCGACAAAAAGGGUUCAGUCCUUAACCCUUUCAGCUGUGAACUCAGUCUCAGAUUGCUAACUCUAAAGACGCCUCACACUUAAAACAUACACUCACUUAAACAUAAAUAAACAGUGUGGACCAUAAUUGGUGUGUGUGUGUGUGUGUGUGUGUGUGUGUAAAUAGUGGUGUAAAAAUACUCAGACGAGAUGAUUGAGAUCACUGAGGUGCUCGUUUGCCUUGUUUAGAUCCAGCACACUGCACUGCUAUUUAAAUCCAUGCUAACUGUUCUCAGUAUGGUUAGCAGUCGACGCUAAGUGUAAUUAAAGUGUAACUCGAGUCUUUUCUAAGCAAUCUAACACCACAUCUGAGGUAAACGUUGAUAUUUCCGACUGUACUGUGUUAUUUUUGCUGUCGCUGUGUUUAUACGUUGGCUAUAUUUGAUUUAAAAGAAGAUUGAAUAACAGUCUAUGCUAGCUAGCUAAAUGACAAGCCAGAUUAUGCUUUGUAUCCAUAUUUCUCAGUUGCCCAGCAACAGUGCUCUCAUGACUUUAAUCACCUGAACAGCUCACUUAGCAGUGAAAAUAAUGACCAUGUCAGAUCAUAGGUUUGUUUCUGUGUCAUAGUCUUUUAUCUGGUGGAAAAAAAAAACAAAACCCAAACACAACAUUUCUUUUUAAACCCACACUGUGUUUAUGAGCUUGUGGAAAAAUAAAAUGACUUCAUGUCCUACUGUUACUCAGAUUAUAUAUUUCAUACAUAUUCAAUUUUCAGGCCACGGAAUCUUUUAUCCAAUCUCGUACCAUAGCUUGUGAUAAUGCAAUAUUUAUUUAAAAAAUAAUUACAUCUAUAGCUGUAAAGGGUGUAAUGGGAGACGCAUGAACCUUUGCAGUGACUCAGAAUUUAUUUUAUCACGUCAUCCUUGCUAGCUGGUUAGUUUCUCAGCUUAGUUUCUCGGCUAAAAUAGUUAGCUACCGGUUUAAUCAUGAGUAUUGCUAAAUGUGACCAUUGGUGAAAAAAGUAAUAAAUAAAAAAUGUAUUUAAAAUGUUUUUUGUUUUUUUUAAACAUCAGUCAGAUCAGCAGAAAUGUUUUACUUAAUAUUCAUGCUAGUCAUUGAUGCUAACCUGUUUUACUAAGCAUUCAUGCUAGCCAGUUCAUGGUGGUCAAUUUUACUCAGCAUUCAUGCUAGUCAUUCAUGCUAGCUAGUUUUACUCAGCAGUCAUGCUAGUGUCAUACUCAGCAGUCAUGCUAGUCAUUCAUGCUAGCUAGUUUUACUCAGCAUUCAAGUUUGCUCCUUUAGUUGUGGCCGAUCGGCUACAUUUGGGUUAAAGUUCUAUAUCUGAUCCCUGAUUAACUUCUCCCUUUAACACAGUGCUCUCUCACAUCAGAUAAAUAUGCUCACAUUGCUAGUCAAAUCGGCAUGCAAAGUUUGCAGUGAUGUAAUCGGAGUGCAGAUUUGUUCAGAGAGCUUCACAAGGCCUGAACAAGUGUGUCGAAAACCUCACAUAGUGUGUAAGAGUGUGUGUCGACAUGUAGCCAGUUCUGUGGUUCACAGUAACAUAAGGUACAUCAUGUCUCUCCAUGUGCUGACAGAAUGUCCGUUAUUAAUCCUGGAUAGUUUCACUAACGUUCAUGCUCGUCAUUAACCCUGGCUAGUUUUUCCUCAGCUUUCAUGCUGGUCAUUUUUAUUUUACUGUUUUUUUUUUCUUCACCAAAUUGAAUCCAAUCAUUCAAAUCAUUUCAAAAACUCGAUUUCAGUCAAAUUAAAAAAUAAAUAAAACAAACAAACCGAGUCACUUUAUUGAACUGAAUCAUUCUAAAUUUGGAAAACUUGUUUUCAGUUGAAUAAAAAAAAAAAAAUGACUGCGUUGAAUCAUUCUAAAUUUAUAAAACCUUCAUUCAUCAUAAUUUUUAAAAAUUCAAAAAUGUACAAAAUUCGCUGAAUCAAAUGACAGCUGAAUCAGUUUUGAAUUAAACCGAAUCAUAAUAAAUAUAGACAACUUGCUUUCAUCUGGAAUCCUGGACCAUGGAACUGAAUCGCUUUUUAGAGAUUCGGAUUGAACUGAACUUGGCUUCCGUUGUGUUGAAAACCAACAAGUCAUGAAUCAAAUAAUUUUCAGUUGAAUCAAAAACCAGUUGAUUCAGUUCUCAGUCAGAGUAAUUAGUCCACAUUAACUCUGUAGAAUUUGUUUGGGGAAAAAGCACCACCAUGACAGGAUUCUAUGGAGUCACCUAUAGGAAUGAAUAUGAGUGCUCUCUAGCUGUCAUGAGAGAGAGAGAGAGAGAGAGAGAGAGAGAGAGAGAGAGAGAGAUGUCGUGUCCUCGGAUAACUGCUGUGGAUCAGUAUGAUGUCAUCGCUCUGUCGAUGGAAAGCAGAGCAGCAGUACCGCAGUGCUCCUUUUUUUUCCUCUCCCUCCUCCUCAAACACGAUCACGAUGCAACACACAACUACAUCACGCAGUGUUUACUCUUUUUCAUAGGCUGUCCAUCAAACAAGGGGGCGGGGUAAUAAACAGG